rnacentral:rRNA from 1 species
UGAUUGACGGUGCUUGCAUCUGAUUGAUUUUCGUUUAAACGAGUGGCGGACGGGUGAGUAACACGUAGGUAACCCGCCCAGAAGUGGGGGACAACAUUUGGAAACAGAUGCUAAUACCGCAUAACAGCGUUGUUCGCAUGAACAACGCUUAAAACAUGGCUUCUCGCUAUCACUUCUGGAUGGACCUGCGGUGCAUUAGCUUGUUGGUGGGGUAACGGCCUACCAAGGCGAUGAUGCAUAGCCGAGUUGAGAGACUGAUCGGCCACAAUGGGACUGAGACACGGCCCAUACUCCUACGGGAGGCAGCAGUAGGGAAUCUUCCACAAUGGGCGUAAGCCUGAUGGAGCAACACCGCGUGAGUGAAGAAGGGUUUCGGCUCGUAAAGCUCUGUUGUUAAAGAAGAACACGUAUGAGAGUAACUGUUCAUACGUUGACGGUAUUUAACCAGAAAGUCACGGCUAACUACGUGCCAGCAGCCGCGGUAAUACGUAGGUGGCAAGCGUUAUCCGGAUUUAUUGGGCGUAAAGAGAGUGCAGGCGGUUUUCUAAGUCUGAUGUGAAAGCCUUCGGCUUAACCGGAGAAGUGCAUCGGAAACUGGAUAACUUGAGUGCAGAAGAGGGUAGUGGAACUCCAUGUGUAGCGGUGGAAUGCGUAGAUAUAUGGAAGAACACCAGUGGCGAAGGCGGCUACCUGGUCUGCAACUGACGCUGAGACUCGAAAGCAUGGGUAGCGAACAGGAUUAGAUACCCUGGUAGUCCAUGCCGUAAACGAUGAGUGCUAGGUGUUGGAGGGUU